AUUGAACGCUGGCGGCAGGCCUAAAACAUGCAAGUCGAGCGGAGCGGCGGACGGGUGAGUAAUGCCAAGGAAUGUGCCUGGUAGUGGGGGAUAAAGUCCGGAAACGGGAGCUAAAGCCGCAAACUAUCAGAAGAGGCUAGGUCGGAUUAGCUAGUUGGUGGGGUAAAGGCAUACCAAGGCGACGAUCCGUAACCGGUCUGAGAGGAUGAUCAGUCACACUGGAACUGAGACACGGUCCAGACUCCUACGGGAGGCAGCAGUGGGGAAUAUUGGACAAUGGGCGAAAGCCUGAUCCAGCCAUGCCGCGUGUGUGAAGAAGGUCUUCGGAUUGUAAAGCACUUUAAGUUGGGAGGCGUUACCAACAGAAUAAGCACCGGCUAACUUCGUGCCAGCAGCCGCGGUAAUUC
rnacentral:rRNA from 1 species